UUUGAUAUCACAUCAUAUUAUGUAGAUGUGAUGUGGACCUGCACAGCAAAAUCUCCAGUGUUGAAAUCCUAGUGUUAAGGACUUUUAGAGUAAAGUGUUAAGGUUGUGGUGUUGAAUUUUAGGGGAUUAACACUAGCUAGUGUAAACAGCGCUCUCUGGCCGGUGUCAAUACGGAGAAUUACCCUUAUUAACUCUGUUGAGUGUUAUUAGUGACAUCCGGGACAUUUGCUCGUGUGCGCGCUUGACCCAUCUGGAAUAUUUUUCAAAGACGCCAUUUUCUUAGACUCGCGAUGCGGAGCAUAUGAGGACGGAAAACAGCGAAAUUAAGUGUUUAAUCUUACUCACAAUAUGUGUUUUGUAAUAUCAUAUCGUUUUAUAGCGAUAUUUACGAGGUGUGUGCGCCUAAACUUUUUUUAAAGACAUUUCUUCCACUCGCGAGGCGGACCAGACAAGGACGUUUCUUUUUAAAAGGGAAACGCCGAAAGUUAAGUGUUUUAUCUCAUUUAAGUUAUAUGCAUUUCACAACAUCAUAUUGAUUUAUAGCGAUAUUUGUGUGAUGUGUACACAAACUUUUUCUCAGAGAGAUAUUUUUCUUCACUCGUGAUGCAGAGAAGACGGGCAAAUUGGUUUUAUCAUGGAAAACACCGAAAAUGCAUUUGAAUGGCUAUGUAUUGACGCGGACGUCACUUUUAACAGGGGAAACAUAAGAAAGAGACAUUUUCUUUCACUGGAGAUGCGGAGCAGACGGGGAAGUUGGUCUUCUCCAGGAAAACACUGAAUGGUUCAUGCUGGUUUAACAGAAAAAUCGAAAGGAGAUGAUGUGCUUGAAGAGUAUGAAGCUACCAAUACAUUAAGUGGGAUGAGAAGAGCUUUGUCAGGACACAUACCAGAGACAUGGGAGCACUUUUGUGAUGCUGCAGGUGGGAGUUGGGUAUCUUGCUUGGCUGAAAGCUGCAGAGAAACACAUCUCGUCUUGCUGAAAACUACUCUUUACAAGGAGGUCCAAACACCAUUAGCAGAGACUUUGUUCAGUGAGCAUUAGCAUGCAUUCUGCCUGGAUGCUAAUGAAUGGGAUGCUGUUGUCUAAACUGAUAAAUGUAAGCGUUAUAAACCUCAUGACAUUAAGUGUACAUAUGGACCAAAUAAGAAUAUGUAUUUUCACUGAUUUGCUUUGACAUUAUGAUGUUUUAAUUGUUGUAAGAACAUGUUCUUUACAUGCAUUGAAUGUGAAAACAUUUUUCUCAGGGAAAAAGAUUUACAAUGUUUCAAUUAAAAAUUGUAAAAGUG